ACACGAAAUUUCCUUUCUCAGUAUUUCAGAGUAUUUCCUUAAAUUUUGCUCUUUCGAAAGCGAAAAGUCAAUGUUAUUAUCGUUUUCUUUACUUGUAUUCGGCAGAAAUAGUAAAUGGUUGCAAGGCGAAACAAACAACAGCUAUAAAGUAUUGUAAAAGCGAGCAAAUAAAGGCGACAAUGUUAAAACAUACACGCCAAAACCGAUUUUGUACCGAAGCGUACUGGAUUAGCCUGUUUACACUGCUCCGGCACAUACCGGAUUACUUUUCAUAUCACCUCCAAAGCGGAGUGAUUUUUGCUCCGCGUCGCGUACCGGAUUACUGUGGCGUAGUGUAAACAGCAGCCGAAUCCGGUAUGAAAAUCGCUACGCUCCGAUGCAAUCCGGUAUAGUGUAAACGGGGCCUCAAGGAGUAUGAUCUCGCUGUACUACUGAAGCUUGUAUGGAGGCAUGUAAAAUAUAUAAGGCGAGAGAAGGAGAUAGUCAUGUGUGUAAAAUUCAGUAUCCCUGAAAGGCUGGCUGCGGCACAGACGCAUUAUUUGGUACACACGAAUUCUGAGUACGUGGUAUUCGGACACGAGAAUUCAUUUCUUCGGGUAACGAUGUGAACUGCCGCACUGAACCACCUUGUGAUGCGUUUUCUUCACGUUUUUGCGAAGAAUGCUGUAAAUUGGUCGCCGCGCUUAAGAUUAGACUGAACAAAAUCCUGAACAUCUGGUAUUCUCGCCACUACUUGGCACGCGCAAUUUUGCCGCGUCGCUCAACUUCCGUUUUUCCGAUUUACUUCCGCUUCCUCAUCUUUUAUUGGUAUUUACUUCCGUUUCCUCAUCUUUUAUUUGUAUCGGUUUAUCUUUUAUUUGUAUCGGUUUAUCUUUUAGUUGUAUCGGUUUAUCUUUUAGUUGUAUCGGUUUAUGACAUCGAUGUAUUUGUACAUAACAUCAAUGUAUAGCAUAUAACAUCAAUUUAUAGCGCAUAAACUCGAUUGAUACAUUUCAGAUAUUUUGUCCGCUAAAAAAACUUCAUAACCCC